rnacentral:rRNA from 1 species
UCAAGAACCUUUGAUGAAUGAAUUAUUAACUUAAUAAUAAAUCAAUGACUCUUUAAUCAACAUUAACAGGACUUUAUAAAUAGAGUCAAAGAGUGAUGGAAAUUGUAGGGAGGGAAGCGGAUGGGGGCUGGUGAUGCGCCCCGAUCAAAUGUGGAAAGGUGAUGAGUCGGUCCGCUAAUCGACUCGGGGAGUGGACCAGCAUGGAUUGGGGGAGAUGCAAGGCCCGAGCUCUCGAUACGCCUAUGGAAUGUCGUCUCCUCAAUUGUGGUAGGAAAUAUGCGCCUCUGGCGUACUACGACAUCUACGCGCUCUAGACGCUAGCCUGUGGGCUCCCUGUUCGACCUGUCUUGAAACACGGACUAAGGAGCCUGAUAUGUGUGCAAGUCAAUGGGCGAGUAAACUUGUAAGCCGUAAGGAAGAUGGUUGGUGGUAUCCCCCUAAGGGGUUCACCGCUGAACGAACUUGAUCAUAUAAGAAAGGUUCGAGUGUGAGCAUACAUGUUGGGACCCAAAACAUAGUGAAAUAUGCCUUAGCGGGGAGAAGCUAGAGUAAACUCUGGUGGAGGCCCGCAGCGAUACUGAUAUGCAAAUUGUUCGUAUAACUUUGGUAUAUGGGAGAAAGACUAAUCAAACCAUCAAGUAGCUGGUUCCCUCCGAAGUUUCCCUCAGGAUAGCUGGAGCUCGCGUGCGAGUUCUAUCGGGUAAAGCAAAUUAUUAGAGGACUCGGGAGAGAAAUGCCCUCGACCCAUUCUCAAACAUUAAAUAGGUAGGACGGCGCGACUGCUUUGUUGAGCCGCGCCAUAUAAUCUAAAGCUCCAACUUUGUCAUUUUUUAUAUUCAGAAUUGGCGAUGCGGGAUGAACCAGAAGCCGGGUUAUGGUUCCAAACUGCUCAUAACCUAGAUUAAUAAAGGGUGUUGGUCGAUUAAGAAAGCAGGACGGUGGUCAUGGAGGUAGAAAUCCGCUAAGGAGUGUGUAACAACUAACUAGCCGAAUCAACUAGCCCUGCAAAUUUGAUCGCAAUUAAGCAAGAUGAGUAGGAGGUGAGGCGGUCGCUGUAAAACCUUGGACGUGAGACUAGGCGCAGCGGCCAUCGGUGCAAAUUUUUGUGGUAGUAACAAAUAUUCAAAUGAGAACUUUGAAGUCCGAAGAGGGGAAAGGUUCCAUGUGAACGGAACUUGCAUAUGUGUUAGUCGAUCAUAAGGGUUGGGGGAGACCCGACAGAUAGCGUGUUUCACGCAUACUCCGAAAGGAAAUCAGGUUAAAUUUCCUGAAAGGUGAUGUGGUGGUUGAUGCUAAAGUUAAAAAGUACGGAGACGUCGGGGGGAGCCUCGGGAAGAUUUAUAUUUUCUUUUUAACAGCCUAUCCACCCUGCAUUCGACUCAGCCGAAGGUAGGGUCUAGUAGCUGGAAUAGCACCGCAUGUCGCGUGGUGUCCGGUGCGCUCCCAGAGGCCCUUUAAAAUCCAGAGGAUCGAAUGUCAUUCAUGCCCGGUCGUACUCAUAACCACAUCAGGUCUCCAAGGUGAACUACCUCUAGUCGAUGGAAUAAUGUAGGCAAGGGAAGUCGCAAAAAUGGAUCCAUAACUUGGGGAAAUGGAUUGGCUUUGAGGGCUGGGCACGGGGGUCCCAGUCCCUAACCGGCGGCUGUCGGUGGACUGUUCGAGCUGCUCCUACAGCGAGAGCGGGUCACCAAGUGUCCUAAGAUGAGAUCAACGAGAACAGAGAUCUCGUGUGGGACAGAAGGGUAAAAUCUUAUUUGAUUCUGAUUUCCAGUACGAAUAAGAACUCUGAAAGCAAGGCCUAACGAUCCUUUAGACCAUUGGAAUUCGAUGCUAGCGUGGGGAUAACUGGCCUGUGGUAGCCAAGCGUUCAUAACGACGUUGCUUUUUGAUCCUUCGAUGUCCUCUCUUCCAAUAGUUGUGAACCAGAAUUCACCAAGUGUUGGAUUGUUCACCCACCAAUAGGGAACGUGAGCUGGGUUUAGACUAUCUUGAGACAGGUUAGUUUACCCUACUGAUGAUAGUGUCACAAUAGUAAUUCAACCUAGUACGAGAGGAAUUGUUGAUUCACAAAAUUGGCCAUCGCUCUUGGUUGAAAAGACAGUGGCGCGAAGCUACCAUGUGCUGGAUUAUGAGUGAAUGCCUCUAAGUAAGAAUUUGAACUAGAAGUGAAGCAUGCGCCCCCUGUCCGCUUGCUGAACCGCAGUAGGGGCCUCUAACCCCCAAGGGUACAUGUCAUUAGCUAAGUCUCCGUGACGGAAGCAACACAGUGACUGUGUU